CUCAGGGCCCCAACCAGAAAGGAUCUACUUUUCAAGCUCAAGAGCGAGUGGUUGAUGGCAGGAUUCAGUUCCUCAUGAGUUGCUGGGCAGAGCCCUCCGUUCCUCAUGUGGCCUGCCUUGGUUCCUUGCCAUAGGGAAGUAUAAGAGGAGACUUGGGGUCAGCAUCCAGACCGGCAAAGAAAGUGAUACCCAUGUCACCUGAUCUUAAGGCCAGUAUCUAAAGUAGCAGCAGGAAUUACCCAUAGUGAUUUGG
rnacentral:lncRNA from 1 species